GCUUUUAUAGGAAAACAGUCAAUCCAUUGGCUUUAGGAGCCGACACCCCUGGUGCAACUCCAGAUAAAAGCU
rnacentral:tRNA from 1 species